rnacentral:lncRNA from 1 species
CAGUAUCUGAUAGACAGAGAAGACGAAACUUGUUUGUUUUGUUAUAUCUUAGACGGAAAUACAGGAAUCGCGUAAGGCAACAUUAGGUACAACAUCCGCUUUUAGCAGUGAGAUAUAUAGAAGGUAGCUUUUAUAUGUGUGACAGCUCCCAUAGGAAUACAUUGAAGUCGACAACCGGAAACCGGACCGACCUCCGGUUUGUCGAGUUCUUCGCCGGCGUAAUAAAAUCUCGGACCGGCUAUAUGUGCAAACCUUCAUUUAUUUAUAUUGCAUCCGGUGCCGGAACCGGAUCCGGGAAAGCCGGUGUGUGUGCAAGCGCCCUUAGUGUUCUUCCUGAAUGGAAAAUGGCGUCCCCUGUUGACCAAAAAACACACAUAAUACAAUAAAGUGGAUGAUUCCAUAACCAAUUGAAAAAAAAAAAAAUGUUAAAUAUGAUUUAUGACCAGAU